GUGGGGAAUAUUGGACAAUGGGCGAAAGCCUGAUCCAGCAAUGCCGCGUGAGUGAUGAAGGCCUUAGGGUUGUAAAGCUCUUUUACCAGGGAUGAUAAUGACAGUACCUGGAGAAUAAGCUCCGGCUAACUCCGUGCCAGCAGCCGCGGUAAUACGGAGGGAGCUAGCGUUGUUCGGAAUUACUGGGCGUAAAGCGCGCGUAGGCGGUUUUUUAAGUCAGAGGUGAAAGCCCGGGGCUCAACCCCGGAAUAGCCUUUGAAACUGGAAAACUAGAAUCUUGGAGAGGUCAGUGGAAUUCCGAGUGUAGAGGUGAAAUUCGUAGAUAUUCGGAAGAACACCAGUGGCGAAGGCGACUGACUGGACAAGUAUUGACGCUGAGGUGCGAAAGCGUGGGGAGCAAACAGGAUUAGAAACCCCUGUAGUCC
rnacentral:rRNA from 1 species